GAUGAACGCUGGCGGCGUGCCUAAUACAUGCAAGUCGAGCGAACAGAUGAGGAGCUUGCUCCUCUGACGUUAGCGGCGGACCGGUGAGUAACACGUGGAUAACCUACCUAUAAGACUGGGAUAACUUCGGGAAACCGGAGCUAAUACCGGAUAAUAUAUUGAACCGCAUGGUUCAAUAGUGAAAGACGGUUUUGCUGUCACUUAUAGAUGGAUCCGCGCCGCAUUAGCUAGUUGGUAAGGUAACGGCUUACCAAGGCAACGAUGCGUAGCCGACCUGAGAGGGUGAUCGGCCACACUGGAACUGAGACACGGUCCAGACUCCUACGGGAGGCAGCAGUAGGGAAUCUUCCGCAAAGGGCGAAAGCCUGACGGAGCAACGCCGCGUGAGUGAUGAAGGUCUUCGGAUCGUAAAACUCUGUUAUUAGGGAAGAACAAAUGUGUAAGUAACUAUGCACGUCUUGACGGUACCUAAUCAGAAAGCCACGGCUAACUACGUG
rnacentral:rRNA from 1 species